CGACCUGUCUCGCGUGGGAGAUGAGUACAUCGCCGCGCUGGGCGGGGCAGGAGGGAAAGGCAACCGCUUCUUCCUGGCCAACAACAACCGUGCACCUGUGACCUGUACCCCUGGACAGCCAGGACAGCAGCGAGUCCUCCACCUGGAGCUCAAGACGGUGGCCCACGCCGGAAUGGUGGGAUUCCCCAACGCCGGGAAGUCCUCACUGCUCCGGGCCAUUUCAAACGCCAGACCCGCCGUGGCUUCCUACCCGUUCACCACCCUGAAGCCCCACGUCGGGAUCGUCCACUACGAAGGCCACCUACAAAUAGCAGGUAGAACUUCCAGAAUUCUCCCAAAGUGUUGGGAUUACAGGCGUGAGCUACCGCACCCGGCCCUAAUUUAAACAAUUUUAAUCAGCCUGUUCUCUAUGAAAAUCAGGUUCCCACCCCAUCCCCUAGGAAUCUGUCAGUUACAGUUCAGAAACCUGCAUUGAAAUUCCAGCCCCGAGAACAGUAUUUCUUCACACUCUAUUUGUCCCCCUCUUUCAUCUGUGGAAGCUCAGCAGCAUCACAACAUGUGACUUAAAAGCUUUCCUUGUGCCAUUUGAGAGAAUAAAACUUUUUCCCAGAAGACAAUACACGCAUUAAAAAUAGUAAGCUUG
rnacentral:sRNA from 1 species